rnacentral:rRNA from 1 species
UACAGAGGGGGCAAGCGUUGUUCGGAAUCACUGGGCGUAAAGGGUGCGUAGGCGGGUCUUUAAGUCAGGGGUGAAAUCCUGGAGCUCAACUCCAGAACUGCCUUUGAUACUGAAGAUCUUGAGUUCGGGAGAGGUGAGUGGAACUGCGAGUGUAGAGGUGAAAUUCGUAGAUAUUCGCAAGAACACCAGUGGCGAAGGCGGCUCACUGGCCCGAUACUGACGCUGAGGAGCGAAAGCGUGGGGAGCGAACAGG